GGGGAGGUAAUAGAAGGGCAAGAUUUCUUGAAGGCUUCCUCUGGGCUGGGCACCACACGACACACUCUACCUGUGUUGCUCUCUUCCAAACUCACAAUGACCAAUAAUGUUUCUCACAAGGGAAUAAUAACCUGGCUGAGGUUGACCAGCUGUCUGGGUCACCCAGCCAACCUGCUGUGCCUAAGUCCUAACUGCUCCCAAGUACAGCCUAUUCUGCUGUGAUUCAGAUCUGAGAAAUGCUGCCUUCUGUUAUUACUCAUAAAUCUAAAAAUCAUGAUGGAGGAAAUUUGGGGGAACUGCUGAGUGCAUUAAGAUUUUUUAGGGAUACUUCCAUUUUCAUAGACAAUAAGGCACUUGAAGGAAUCAGCAAAAGCUUUUGCUUUUGUUAAUUUUUAAAAAUUUUCUCUAAUCCUCUCCUGGAAGAGAGGAACAGGCAUCCUGGGCAUAGCUCUAAAUUCCUCUCUAUAAGAAGGCUCCUUUGGUCCACAAACCAGCUAAAAAGCUGAAAAUAAAAGGGAAAUAUAGAAAUGAACUUAUAUCUGGUGCUUCCAAUACCUGAGUUAUGGUGCUAAUCCAAACAGCUAUCUGCACUGAUUUCAUUUUAUUGGCAUCCAUUUAAUGUACACAGAGCAUCACUAAACAUGUGGAAAUCACUUGGAUUGCCAUUCACUCUCGACUUGGGGGAAAAGUCCUCAUUCAUCAGAUAUGGAAGCGUCUGCCCCUCUACCAAACUAGCUUAGAACCCGAAAAAACUUCUUUUCUAGUUAACUGCCAUUCUCAGAGGAAAAGCCCUCAGUUUCUCCCCUAAAAAGGGGACAGUGGGAUGCCAGGCCACAACCCCCAUUCAAUCACCUAAAAUUAAAGAAACCUGCUUUUAUGAUGCUUGGAAAGUUGAGACUGUGGAAACCUACCUUGCCCCUUGGUUUUAAAUCCCCUCUCUUUACCAUUAAUUUCCUCACUGUCACAGCAUGGAAUGCCAUGGGAUCCAGCACGUGUGUGUGUGUGUGUGUGUGUGUGUGUGUGUGUUCUCUGCGCAUUCUUUGUAUUUCAACUGAACACCACCUUAGAUCAUCCUCGACAAGAGAGCAAAGGUUAUCAUUAGCAUGCUGAAUAAUGGAUGGCGUCCAUUGUAUUUUCUUGUUUAGGGUGAUAAAUCAUUCUGAAAACUUUUAUUAUGUUCUAUAUAAAAUGGAAGCACAUCAGCACUUGUUCUGUUUUCCUCUCCGGAGUCGGUUUGGCAGGGCGCCCUGGGCUGGAAAGAACAGCCAGGGGUUGCCAAGCGAGGGCUGGCUUGAUUCUGUGCCCAUUCCUCCAGGGGCUGUAAACAUCCUGCCCUGGAACGAUUCACCAACCUGUAGCUAGAAACCUCCCGUGCACGGCUGUGCAGCUGGGAGAAUGGGAACCCAUGAGUCACCCACCAGGCCCCACUGGGUAAUGAAGAGGUCAAAGCAGGGAGCUUCAUCCACCCACCCCAGUCCCCAAUAAGAGCCCAGCUCUGGAUUCCCCAGAGAGCCAGGCACGGGGCCCCGGGUCAACAAAGGGCAAAGAAACUAAGAUUUACUGAGUGCCUGCCUACCAUUUGCCUGAGACGGCAGCAGCCACUGUCACCCACAUUAUCUUGCGUCAUAUCAAGGAGGGCUGCUCAGUGGGUGAGGUCACGGGCUCCAGAGUGAGACACUCCUGCAUCACUCACUGGCUGUGUGGUCCUGGGCCAUGGACCUCAUUGAAUGUUCAGGAUUCUCAUUGGCCAUGUGGGGAUGGACCAGUUUAAUACCAAAGUCCUUUCACACCAGAUGGUCAGGUCCAGUGCCUUAAGGCUCCAGAGCCUGCACCCUCCCACUGUUCUAGAGGAACCAGCCCCUCCCAGGAACCUGCUCAUCCAUCGUGAGCCACCGUGCAAUCCAGGAACUAAAGGGACAUGUGGGCACAGCAGAGCUUCUAGGGCCUGUCCCGCGAUAAAGGCUGGUUUGCUCUCACUGAUGGUGUCCAUGCUGUACCAGCCAUUACAUCACUUUCUAGGGCUGUUCUAAGACCAGAGGUGACGUCUACAGAGCCUAUCAUAUGAUACACCACCCAUAAAUGAUCAGGAUAGUUAUGCCUUCCACACAGAUACGGAAAGCUAGUAAAGAAGUUUCACUAAUACAGGGAAAACCAUGGAACCAGGGAAUGAAUCUCACUGACUCAAACUCUCAACUCAACGUCUGUUGACCACAACGCAUCAAUGGAAAGAGUUCAUUUAACGAUGGCAGCAAAAAGAUUUCCUCCUAGAAAGCACCAUUGCCGCAGCUAGAUUUCAAAUGUCCAUGCUCAUUUCGAACAACAUCCUUGAGGAUCUGUUAAAAAGGCCAGCCUGCAUCCAGUUGUAGAGACAAUAUUUUAAUCAUGUUAUCAGACUUACUACAUGGAAGUUGCUUUUCUCCAGCCUGAGCAGAACAGACUGGUCUCAGCUAUGGAAUGGAGUUCAGUGGGCACAAACUAAGCCUUAACCACAGGUGGACAGGGUGCUAUUCCUAAUGUCUGGGUGCCCUGAGUACUGGGUUGUACCUCAGUGGUCCUCUGUGUUUUUACAGGUGGAGGGAGAAAAUGAAUAAAAAGAUUUUACAUGGUCCGCAAAAGGAUUUCUUUAAAAAUUCUUACCAACAGAGAAUAUUGUCAGGACAUAUUAAAAACAGUAACAGCUCACCAACUGGAAAUGUGAUUCUCAUGUGGUCAUCACAGCAUAAAUCCUAUACUCUGCUUAUCUAUCAGCUAUUAUCACUUGAGUAUGAAACAGUCACAGCCACGGCAAGGGGGGCAGGGCACAAGACAGGGGAAGAGAGGGUACUUCUAUAGAAUUAGAACAUCAAGUGGUUAAGUUCUGUUAAGAGAAAGGAGAAGAGACAGGAAUGUUACUGGUGGGAGGGCCAGAGGGGAGAUUAUUUCCGAAGUAAUCUAAGACUUUGCAACACAACAUGUGGUUCAUGGACCAAUAGCAUCUACAUCACCUGUGAGCCCAUCAGGCAUCAGAAUCUGAGGCCCACCCCGCAUUUAUGGAUCAGCACCACUCUUCUGAUCCGAUGCUCAGACAGUUCAUAACGCACACUGCUGUUCCUGAAAUCCUGCUUUAAGGGGCCCCAGCCUCUGCUCACAUGGCGGAGAGGGGUUGGUGGGGGAGUGGCACGGAGAGGAAAAUGACGUUGUAAGAGAUGGUUCUGCCUAAGAGUUUAUCCUGUCUGAAUCGGCCAGGGGUGGGGGGUGGGGGUGGCGAAUGUUCUGGGACGAUGCGCAGACCAUGGUUGCGGGUGCGCACAGCGUGGGGGCCAUCUGUGUCUAAAAAGAAAAGAAAUGCUGGGCAGAAGCGUGGAGCUGUGCCGGGGCUAAGCACGGCCAGGUGUUUAAGUGGGAAAGCCAGUCUCGAAGAUCAAAGGCAAGUCGGUUGUAAAAGAGAACAUCUUGCCCACCAAGCCCAGGCCCUCCGCAUGGAGAGAGGGUGACAGGGAAACACACCAGAUGUUAGCAGCCAAGGGCCCCUUAGAGCCAAGGAUAAACUCGCCUCCAUAGCUCUGCGGCAUCAAAACCUCAUUAUCUGCCAGGCCCACCACUAAAUACAAACACAGGUUCCACAGGCAGAUGUGACCAAGUCCGUGGAGGCUCGCAGCUGUCCCUGUGGUAAACGGGCAGUAACUAAUAAGAAGACAGAUGCCAAGGCCCCUGAAAGUAAGUUCUUUUUUGUGGGUGACAAGGGAAUGUAGUUUUCUAGAAAAGCUGUGUGAGCACUUUGCAGCAACCAGCCUGGGGUCAGGCCAAGUGCCGUUUCCUGUGGGGCCUGAGAUGGACAGGCAAGUUAUUUUUGCCCAGAAGACUGGGUGGUUCCAGCUCAGAAGCUCCCAUCCCCACCCCCACCCGUUCCCCUGUCCAGAUCUGGGACCACAACCCUAUCACACCACCAUAGCAACCCGGUGGCCUCGCAGGCACACGGGCACUUCAUCAACUUGUGCAUUUUCCGCAAGUACAAGCCGGCAUCUUCUUAAUUGCUCCUGUGGAGCUUUUCAUAAAUACAUUUAAAUGGAAUAAUUAUUAUUGUUAUUUUACUUUAUUCUUCUAGAUGGCACCUUUCCUUCAAGCCGCUCAAAGAGCUAUUCUGAAAUUAUCCAAUUAAUCUUUGCAAAAUUCCUGGGAAGAAGGUGGGUGGCAGUUUCUCUACAUUUCUGAAGGAGAAGGGAGAAGUGGAGGGGCGGGUGAGAAGCCUGGGGUAACAUGGGGAUGGUGCAGAAAUGGAAACGGGGCUCCCACACCCGUUGUCCUGGACACUGCUCUCAGGUUCUGUGCCAUCAAAGCCACCACUGCCUAGGCCUGGGCCCUCAGCACAAAGCUUGUUUUCAGAUUCUGACACUGCCCCUCAAGCAGACACAUGCACGUGUCUUUGUGCAAGUGACUUAGUCCCCCUGGGCCUCGGCGUCCCCCUCUGUCUAAUGCCUCAAUGACACACCACAGUGGGGGGUUGAGGAGGAAGGGUUUUCAGCUGCUCAGGACAGGGCUCUAAGUGGCCAUCAGGAGCCCCUUUCUGUACUGGAUUGUGCAGCCUCUGGGGUCUGUCCCCAAGAAGGCUCUUCAUUCCAUGCAUUGCAGUGUAAAGGGCAUAUUUUGGCAAGGGAUAGAGCAGAGAUUCUGAGAUCCAGCUUUGGAGAUGGACAGCUCCAGUCAGAUCCUGACUCCAGUUCUUCUUGAAUCUUAGGACUUGGGCAGGUCACUUAACAGCACUGAGCCUCGGUUUCCUCAUCCAUAAAAUGGGGGUGGUGAUGAGUCGAUGAGAUAGUGUAGACAAAGGGCCUAGCAUUACCGGGUACUCGGGUUAUACAGAGAGAGGGGUUAAGCGGAGGAGACUACAUCUGCUUUCUGGUUCACCACCUCUAGCUAAGUGACCUGAGGCAGGCAGGCCACCUCACCUCACAGGUAAGGAAUGUCCCUGUGAGGUUUAACCAAGUUCAUAGAUGUAAUUUAUAAAAGAUUCGGGCACAGAGGUCCAUGCAUGUUAUUAAUAUUAGAUUCUUUCUUUCUUUUUCUCCUUCUUCCUUUUCUCCCCUCUCUCUCUCUCUCUUUCUUUCUUUGGCUAUACCUAUGACAUAUGGAAUUUCCCAGGCUAAGGGUUGAAUUGGAGCUGCAGCUGCUGGCCUACACCACAGCCACAGCAACGGCGGAUCCUUAGCCCACUGAGUGAGGCCAGGGAUCGAACCCACAUCCUCAUGGAUACUAGUUGGGUUUGUUUGUGAUGAGCCACAACAGGAACUCCUAUUGCUUCAUUUCUUGUGUCUGUUUUAUCUGGGGGAGCCAGGAAGACUGGCCUCCACCCCCAAGGAAGGAGAUGACUCCAUAAUUGGAGGGCAAUGAGGAGGGGCCAGCAGCUCAGUCUCAGGCCACUUCCCUAGCAAUUAGAAGAGUCUCUCACCUGGACAGCACUUCUGGAAUCAGGGGGGCCGUGAGCUGCCACUCCUUGGCUAAGUGAUUCCAGGCCAGUCCCCCCAUCUUCCUCUCAGUCAAUGCAUCUGCAAAAUCAUGCUAAUGUGUUCAUCACCUUGACUCCUCACCAAGGCCACCAGAGAUAAUGCACACAAAUGCCCUUUGUCAACUCUUACAUGUCACUCACAUUCCAACUAUUAUAAAUUCAGAAACAUGCACUUGAAAAGCACAUGCGUGAGUCCCCUGGUGGCUUGGCAGAUUAGGGAUCCCGUGUUGUCCCUGCUGUGUUGUGGGUUUGAUCCCUGGGCUGGGAACUUCCGCCUGCUGUGGGCAUGGGCAAAAAUAAGCAAAUCUUAAAAAGAAAUAUACAAAAGCCCACCUGGGUCUGAAUUUUCAUUUGAACAGGUGGAAACUGCAUACUUUUCUAGGUGUGCUUUUAUUUUUCAUUCCUUUGAAUACUAAAAGAAAGGUUUUUUUUUCUUUAAAGCUCUUGUCUCAGGUAGGAGACGAAUGAAGACACUUUAAUUUCCGGUGGUGCCACUGCCCUGGAUUUGGGCUUUACCCCCAGCUGUGCUCAAACCAAACAAACAGCAUGUCCACCCACCCGGGAGACUCAAA
rnacentral:lncRNA from 1 species